rnacentral:rRNA from 1 species
GACGAACGCUGGCGGCGUGCCUAAUACAUGCAAGUAGAACGCACAGUUUAUACCGUAGCUUGCUACACCAUAGACUGUGAGUUGCGAACGGGUGAGUAACGCGUAGGUAACCUGCCUGGUAGCGGGGGAUAACUAUUGGAAACGAUAGCUAAUACCGCAUAAUAUUGAUUAUUGCAUGAUAAUUGAUUGAAAGAUGCUAUUGCAUCACUACCAGAUGGACCUGCGUUGUAUUAGCUAGUAGGUGAGGUAACGGCUCACCUAGGCGACGAUACAUAGCCGACCUGAGAGGGUGAUCGGCCACACUGGGACUGAGACACGGCCCAGACUCCUACGGGAGGCAGCAGUAGGGAAUCUUCGGCAAGGGACGAAAGUCUGACCGAGCAACGCCGCGUGAGUGAAGAAGGUUUUCGGAUCGUAAAGCUCUGUUGUAAGAGAAGAACGGGUGUGAGAGUGGAAAGUUCACACUGUGACGGUAUCUUACCAGAAAGGGACGGCUAACUACGUG